UGCAAAUCAUUUAAGAAACUUUACAGUCAUCUUCAUGGUGUCGAGAGAUUAAAUAUCUCAUCGUUCAAGAUAAAAGUUUGCGGCACCCCUUCUUGUUCAGAGACAAGCGCGAGGCGUGACUGUGGUAUCUAUGCAAUGAGGUUUAUUUGGAUAUUCAAGGCUAAUUUUUACCCAGAUGUAUUCAAGGCUGACAUCGAAAGUUUUCGACAGUUCUUCGCCGGAAUGAUGCUCACUUAUGAUUCUCCUAAUUAUUUGGCAAGUUUCGUUCGCGAACAGAUUGAAGAAUUCGAAAGGAAGGAUACUCUCUUGAACAAGCGUAGGAGGGAGCAUACUGAUUGAUAUUCUCAGAGCCCUGCAGGAGUAUGAAAUGUUGAAGUUCAAGACUAUGAAGAGCAAGCGUGUAAGGUUGAGAAGUUUGAGUGCUACUUUUGACAAGUAUUCAGAAGCAA